GGGGAAUAUUGCACAAUGGGGGAAACCCUGAUGCAGCGACGCCGCGUGAAGGAAGAAGUAUCUCGGUAUGUAAACUUCUAUCAGCAGGGAAGAAAAUGACGGUACCUGACUAAGAAGCCCCGGCUAACUACGUGCCAGCAGCCGCGGUAAUACGUAGGGGGCAAGCGUUAUCCGGAUUUACUGGGUGUAAAGGGAGCGUAGACGGAUGGACAAGUCUGAUGUGAAAGGCUGGGGCUCAACCCCGGGACUGCAUUGGAAACUGCCCGUCUUGAGUGCCGGAGAGGUAAGCGGAAUUCCUAGUGUAGCGGUGAAAUGCGUAGAUAUUAGGAGGAACACCAGUGGCGAAGGCGGCUUACUGGACGGUAACUGACGUUGAGGCUCGAAAGCGUGGGGAGCAAAC
rnacentral:rRNA from 1 species